UACGUAGGGUGCAAGCGUUAAUCGGAAUUACUGGGCGUAAAGCGUGCGCAGGCGGUUUGGCAAGACAGAUGUGAAAUCCCCGGGCUUAACCUGGGAACUGCAUUUGUGACUGCACGGCUAGAGUGCGGCAGAGGGGGAUGGAAUUCCGCGUGUAGCAGUGAAAUGCGUAGAUAUGCGGAGGAACACCGAUGGCGAAGGCAAUCCCCUGGGCCUGCACUGACGCUCAUGCACGAAAGCGUGGGGAGCAAACAGG
rnacentral:rRNA from 1 species